rnacentral:rRNA from 1 species
AUUGAACGCUGGCGGCAGGCUUAACACAUGCAAGUCGAGCGGAGUGAUGGUGCUUGCACUAUCACUUAGCGGCGGACGGGUGAGUAAUGCUUAGGAAUCUGCCAUUUAGUGGGGGACAACAUUCCGAAAGGAAUGCUAAUACCGCAUACGUCCUACGGGAGAAAGCAGGGGAUCUUCGGACCUUGCGCUAAAUGAUGAGCCUAGGUCGGAUAAGCUAGUUGGUGGGGUAAAGGACUACCAAGGCGACGAUCUGUAGCGGGUCUGAGAGGAUGGUCCGCCACCCGGGGACGGAGACACGGCCCAGACUCCUACUGGAGGCAUCAGUGGGGAAUAUUGGACAAUGGGCGGAAGCCUGAUCCAGCCAUGCCGCGGGUGUGAAGAAGGCCUUUUGGUUGUAAAGCACUUUAAGCGAGGAGGAGGCUACUAGUACUAAUCCUACUGGAUAGUGGACGUUACUCGCAGAAUAAGCACCGGCUAACUCUGUGCCAGCCGCCGCCGUAAAAC